AAAUGAAUAGACGGGGACCCGCACAAGCGGUGGAGCAUGUGGUUUAAUUCGAAGCAACGCGAAGAACCUUACCAGGUCUUGACAUCCCUUCGACCGGUCCAUAACGGGACCUUCCCUUCGGGGCGAAGGAGACAGGUGGUGCAUGGUUGUCGUCAGCUCGUGUCGUGAGAUGUUGGGUUAAGUCCCACAACGAGCGCAACCCCUAUUCUUAGUAGCCAGCAGGUUAAGCUGGGCACUCUAGGAAGACUGCCAGGGAUAACCUGGAGGAAGGCGGGGACGACGUCAAAUCAUCAUGCCCCUUAUGAUCUGGGCUACACACGUGCUACAAUGGUGGCUACAAAGAGAAGCGAGCUUGUGAAAGUAAGCAAAGCUCAAAAAGGCCAUCCCAGUUCGGAUUGUAGUCUGCAACUCGACUACAUGAAGCUGGAAUCGCUAGUAAUCGCGAAUCAGAAUGUCGCGGUGAAUACGUUCCCGGGUCUUGUACACACCGCCCGU
rnacentral:rRNA from 1 species